AGAGGUAUCGUAAUUGAAGAGGUUUGGAAAGACUCACCACAGAAGGUAAUAGUCCUGUAUGUUAAACGAGAAGACUUUAGAUAUGAUCCAGAGUACCACGGGACACGUGAAACCCUGUGGGAAGCAGGAGGGACCACCCUCCAAGGCUAAAUACUACCUAGUGACCGAUAGCGUAUAGUACCGUGAGGGAAAGGUGAAAAGAACCCCGGGAGGGGAGUGAAAUAGAACCUGAAACCCUGCACUUACAAGCUGUGGAAGCACAUUUCUUGUGUGACCGCGUACUUUUUGUAGAACGGGCCAACGAGUUACGUUAAGUAGCAAGGUUAAGCACUUAAGGUGCGGAGCCGUAGCGAAAGCGAGUUUUAACUGAGCGUUCAGUUACUUGACGUAGACCCGAAACCGGGCGACCUACCCAUGAGCAGGAUGAAGCGAAAGUAAAAUUUCGUGGAGGUCCGAACCCACGAGCGUUGAAAAGCUCGGGGAUGACUUGUGGGUAGCGGUGAAAUUCCAAUCGAGCCCGGAGAUAGCUGGUUCUCCCCGAAAUAGCUUUAGGGCUAGCCUCAAGGUGAGAGAUACGGAGGUAGAGCACUGAAUGUCCUAGGGGGUAUUGCACCUACCGAAGACUAUCAAACUCCGAAUGCCGUCAUCUUAUACUUGGGAGUCAGACUGUGGGUGAUAAGAUUCAUAGUCGAAAGGGCAACAGCCCAGAUCGUCAGCUAAGGUCCCUAAAUGUAAGUUAAGUGGUAAAGGAUGUGGGAUUGCACAGACAACCAGGAUGUUGGCUUAGAAGCAGCCACUCAUUCAAAGAGUGCGUAAUAGCUCACUGGUCGAGUGAUCCUGCGCCGAAGAUUUCCGGGGCUAAAACUUACUACCGAAGCUACGGCAUCAGUAAUGAUGGGUAGGGGAGCUUCCCAUACGGGUUGAAGCAUGACCGUAAGGACAUGUGGACAGUAUGGGAGUGAGAAUGUUGGCAUGAGUAGCGAGAUGUGGGUGAGAAUCCCACAGGCCGUAAACCCAAGGUUUCCAGGGGAAGGUUCGUCCGCCCUGGGUUAGUCGGGACCUAAGCUGAGGCCGAAAGGCGUAGGUGAUGGACAACAGGUUGAUAUUCCUGUACUACCGAUAACCGUUUGAGAGAAGGGAUGACACAGUAGGAUAAGCUAAGCACACUGUUGGUUAUGUGUGCCCAAGCAUUGAGGCAGUCAAAGUAGGCAAAUCCGCUUUGAUAAUGCUGGGAUGUGAUGGGGAGCGAAAUUUAGUAGCGAAGUAGCUGAUUUCACACUGUCAAGAAAAGUCUCUAUCGAGGUUAAAGGUACCCGUACCGCAAACCGACACAGGUGGGUGAGGAGAGUAUCCUAAGGCCAGCGAGAGAACUGUUGUUAAGGAACUCGGCAAAAUGACCCCGUAACUUAGGGAUAAGGGGUGCCACCAUCAGGUGGCCGCAGAGAAUAGGCCCAAGCGACUGUUUACCAAAAACAUAGGUUUCUGCUAAGUCGCAAGACGAUGUAUAGGAGCUGACGCCUGCCCGGUGCUGGAAGGUUAAGGGGAUCUGUUAGAGCAAUCGAAGCAGUGAACUUAAGCCCCAGUAAACGGCGGCCGUAACUAUAACGGUCCUAAGGUAGCGAAAUUCCUUGUCGGGUAAGUUCCGACCCGCACGAAAGGCGUAACGAUUUGGGCACUGUCUCAACAACAGACUCGGUGAAAUUGUAAUUCCGGUGAAGAUGCCGGAUACCUGCGACAGGACGGAAAGACCCCAUGGAGCUUUACUGUAGCUUGACAUUGGGUCUUGGUACUACAUGUACAGGAUAGGUGGGAGGCUUUGAAACCAGGACGCCAGUUUUGGCGGAGCCAUCCUUGGGAUACCACCCUUGUAGUACUGGGACUCUAACCAUAGGCCAUGAAUCUGGUCUUGGGACACUGUCAGGUGGGCAGUUUGACUGGGGCGGUCGCCUCCCAAAAGGUAACGGAGGCGCUCAAAGGUUCUCUCAGUACGGUCGGAAAUCGUACGUAGAGUGUAAAGGCAAAAGAGAGCUUGAUUGCAAGACAUACAGGUCGAGCAAGGAUGAAAAUCGGACUUAGUGAUCCGGUGGUUCUGCGUGGAAGGGCCAUCGCUCAACGGAUAAAAGCUACCCUGGGGAUAACAGGCUUAUCUCCCCCAAGAGUCCACAUCGACGGGGAGGUUUGGCACCUCGAUGUCGGCUCAUCACAUCCUGGGGCUGUAGUAGGUCCCAAGGGUUGGGCUGUUCGCCCAUUAAAGUGGUACGCGAGCUGGGUUCAGAACGUCGUGAGACAGUUCGGUCCCUAUCCGUCGCAGGCGUAGGAAAUUUGAGAAGACCUGUCCUUAGUACGAGAGGACCGGGAUGGACG
rnacentral:rRNA from 1 species